rnacentral:rRNA from 1 species
UGGCGGCGUGCCUAACACAUGCAAGUCGAGCGGAGUUUUUUGAGUUGAGACCUUCGAGGUGGAUUCUUAAGAACUUAGCGGCGGACGGGUGAGUAACGCGUGGGCAAUCUGCCUCUUACAGGGGGAUAACACAGGGAAACCUGUGCUAAUACCGCAUAAAACUGCACCGUGGCAUCACGGAGUAGCCAAAGGAGCAAUCCGGUAAGAGAGGAGCCCGCGUCUGAUUAGCUAGUUGGUGAGGUAACGGCUCACCAAGGCGACGAUCAGUAGCCGAACUGAGAGGUUGAUCGGCCACAUUGGGACUGAGACACGGCCCAGACUCCUACGGGAGGCAGCAGUGGGGAAUAUUGCGCAAUGGGGGAAACCCUGACGCAGCAACGCCGCGUGAAGGAUGAAGGCCUUCGGGUUGUAAACUUUUUUGAUCGGGGACGAAUAAUGACGGUACCCGAAAAACAAGUCACGGCUAACUACGUG